GGUUAUGGCUCAGCGGUAGAGCAUUCAUCUUGCACGUGCAAGGCCCUAGGUUCGAUCCUCAGCACCA
rnacentral:tRNA from 1 species